CUCUAUUUAUUUAAUUAUUUAUUUAUUUUUCCUAAUUUAGUUAAAAAAGUAAAAUAAAAUAAAAAUAAAAAUAAAAUAAAAUUUUGGGGAUAGAGGUGUGGAUUUCGAUGAACCUUGAUAGUGGGUUUUCGAUAUUUAAUUUGAUUUAUUUAUAAUAUUAAUAUACAGAAGAGUAGUCCAUCGGAUGGGAGAAGAUUAAGUAGGGUUUUUGACAUCC
rnacentral:lncRNA from 1 species